rnacentral:rRNA from 1 species
UACGUAGGUGGCGAGCGUUGUCCGGAAUUACUGGGUGUAAAGGGCGUGUAGGCGGGAUUGCAAGUCAGAUGUGAAAUUCCAGGGCUUAACUCUGGAGCUGCAUCUGAAACUGUGAUUCUUGAGUGAUGGAGAGGAAAGUGGUAUUCCUAGUGUAGCGGUGAAAUGCGUAGAUAUUGGGAGGAACACCAGUGGCGAAGGCGGCUCACUGGACCGGAACUGACGCUGAGGCGCGAAAGCGUGGGGAGCAAACAGG